ACUCAGGCACUGUGCUUUUUCGUAGUCACACGAUUUCUCUCUUGGCUCGGAGCUCCUACACUACCUAGUUGUAGAGAGCGCGUUCUUUGAAGUACAGCUGGCAAGAGCAAGCAGCCAAUCUAAGUGCUGGAUUAUUGGCAAGGGGGCGAUGUCAGCCAAUGAGAGAUUCGACUAAGGACAGAAACGCUAAAAGAUUCACGUCAAUCAAUAACUAUUGUGCGACUCUGACUGUCAAGCAAGACACGAUGUGGUGUUUUUAUACAUUUUAUGUAUUCUCUCAUCAAGGCUCAAUGUGUCCUUUCAUUGUAGAAUCGAGCUCAUUUUGGUGUAAACCAGUCCUCUGAAAGAGGAAUGGAAACGUCUUCAUUUGCAGGGCAUGUGCUUGCUCACAGCGUCCAUGGACAUUAAUUUAAGCAGAAGGUCCCGUACUCUCACCAGGAGGCCAGAAAAUUACAGUAAGCUGACCCAUUGUCAUUGAAUAAUGGCUGACUGAAGUGAAGACGCUUGCAAUACAAGGAAGUCAACCUUUUUCAACGUGCUGACAAAGAGUCAAGCUGCAACUGAGAAUUUCCCCUUCUGCUCCAUUGACCCAAAUGAAAGCCGAGUGCCCAUUCCAGAUGAACGCUAUGAUUUCCUGUGCCAAUUCCACAAGCCUGUCAGCAAGGUGACCGACCUUCCUGAAUGUGGUGGACAUAGCAGGACUGGUGAAGGGAGCUCACGCUGGCCAGGGCCUGGGCAAUGCCUUCCUGUCCCACAUCAGUGCCGGCGAUGGCAUCUUCCACACGACACGUGCGUUUGCAGAUGAGGAC